AACGAACGCUGGCGGCGCGCCUAAUACAUGCAAGUCGAGCGAGAAGACGUAGCAAUACGUUUGUAAAGCGGCGAACGGGUGAGGAAUACAUGGGUAACCUACCCUCGAGUGGGGAAUAACUAGCCGAAAGGUUAGCUAAUACCGCGUACGCUCCUUGGACUUCGGUUCAUGGAGGAAAGCGAUACCGUGGGUAUCGCGCUCUUGGAUGGGCUCAUGUCCUAUCAGCUUGUUGGUGAGGUAACGGCUCACCAAGGCUUCGACGGGUAGCUGGUCUGAGAGGACGAUCAGCCACACUGGCACUGCGACACGGGCCAGACUCCUACGGGAGGCAGCAGUAAGGAAUAUUGCGCAAUGGGCGAAAGCCUGACGCAGCGACGCCGCGUGGGGGAUGAAGGUCUUCGGAUUGUAAACCCCUUUCGGGAGGGAAGAUGGAGUGGGGUAACCCAUUCGGACGGUACCUCCAGAAGCAGCCACGGCUAACUUCGUGCCAGCCGCCGCCGUAACAC
rnacentral:rRNA from 1 species